UAGGUAGCUUAACCUUCGGGAGGGCGCUUACCACUUUGUGAUUCAUGACUGGGUGAAGUCGUAACAAGGUAACCGUAGGGGAACCUGCGGUUGGAUCACCUCCUUACCUUAAAGAA
rnacentral:rRNA from 1 species